rnacentral:rRNA from 1 species
AUAGGCUCAAUGUGUAAGUGCAGUGAUGCAUUUAGCUUGCGAGUACUAAUCGGUCGAGGGCUUAA